rnacentral:rRNA from 1 species
UCCGUAGGUGAACCUGCGGAAGGAUCACUAGUGAUUAAAUCGAGCGUGUCUUCAUUGACCGCUCACCCUUCUCACCAUCCACAUACACCUGUGCACUGUUUAGCCUGAGCCGUUUCGGUUCAGGUUAUCAUUUCAUACGAACUCUAGUCUUAUGAAUGUAAACGUUUUAAUAACAUAAUAAAACUUUCAACAACGGAUCUCUUGGUUCUCGCAUCGGUGAAGAACGCAGCGAAAUGCGAUAGGUAAUGUGAAUUGCAGAAUUCAGUGAAUCAUCGAAUCUUUGAACGCACCUUGCGCUCCUUGGUAUUCCGAGGAGCAUGCCUGUUUGAGUGUCAUGAAACUCUCACCCUCUAGCUUUCUUAAUCGUGGCUAGCGGCGUGGACGUGAGCGCUGCUGCUUUGUUGCGGCUCGCUCGAAAUGCAUUAGCAGACCCUUUUCGUAAUCGGUUCCACUCAACGUGAUAAGUAUUUCGUUGAGGACAGUUGCAGCAAUGCGGCUGGCCGGGAUAAGAAAGGCAUAGUCGUCAGCUUCUAAACGCCCUUGGGCAAUUUUUUAUGAUCUGGCCUCAAAUCAGGUAGGACUACCCGCUGAACUUAAGCUCAUCAAUAAGCGGAGGA